GGGGAAGUGCUGGAACUGGCAGACAGGCAUGACUUAGGAUCAUGUGCCGAAAGGCGUGCGGGUUCAAGUCCCGCCUUCCCCA
rnacentral:tRNA from 2 species